rnacentral:misc_RNA from 1 species
GAUGAAGAACGUAGCGAAAUGCGAUAAGUAAUGUGAAUUGCAGAAUUCAGUGAAUCAUCGAGUCUUUGAACGCACAUUGCGCCCCCUGGUAUUCCGGGGGGCAUGCCUGUCCGAGCGUCAUUGCCGCCCUCAAGCACGGCUUGUGUGUUGGGCCCCCGCCCCCCGGCUUCGGGGGGCGGGCCCGAAAGGCAGCGGCGGCACCGCGUCCGGUCCUCGAGCGUAUGGGGCUUCGUCACCCGCUCUGUAGGCCCGGCCGGCGCCCGCCGGCGACCCCAAUCAAUCUUUCCAGGUUGACCUCGGAUCAGGUAGGGAUACCCGGUGAACUUAAGCAUAUCAAUAAGCGGAGGA